UGACCUCAAAUCAGGUAGGACUACCCGCUGAACUUAAGC
rnacentral:rRNA from 6 species